UAGCUCAGUGGGUAGAGCGGCCAAUUGAAAAUCAUGAGGUCCCGGGUUCGAAUCCCG
rnacentral:tRNA from 1 species